rnacentral:rRNA from 1 species
CUCAGGAUGAACGCUAGCUACAGGCUUAACACAUGCAAGUCGAGGGCAGCUAUUUUAGUUUGCUUGACAAACUAAAGAUGGCGACCGGCGCACGGGUGAGUAACACGUAUCCAACCUGCCCAUCACUUGGGGAUAACCUUACGAAAGUAAGACUAAUACCCAAUGAUAUCUCUAGAAGACAUCUGAAAGAGAUUUAAAGAUUUAUCGGUGAUGGAUGGGGAUGCGUCUGAUUAGCUUGUUGGCGGGGUAACGGCCCACCAAGGCGACGAUCAGUAGGGGUUCUGAGAGGAAGGUCCCCCACAUUGGAACUGAGACACGGUCCAAACUCCUACGGGAGGCAGCAGUGAGGAAUAUUGGUCAAUGGGCGAGAGCCUGAACCAGCCAAGUAGCGUGAAGGAUGACUGCCCUAUGGGUUGUAAACUUCUUUUAUAAAGGAAUAAAGUCGGGUAUGGAUACCCGUUUGCAUGUACUUUAUGAAUAAGGAUCGGCUAACUCCGUG